rnacentral:misc_RNA from 1 species
GAUGAAGAACGUAGCGAAAUGCGAUAAGUAAUGUGAAUUGCAGAAUUCAGUGAAUCAUCGAAUCUUUGAACGCAUCUUGCGCUCCUUGGUAUUCCUUGGAGCAUGCCUGUUUGAGUAUCAUGAGCAAAUCUCAAAGUCAAUUCCUUUUGUUGAUUCAAUUGGUUUUGCUUUGGACUUGGAGGCCUUGCAGAUUUCACAGUCUGCUCCUCUUAAAUGCAUUAGCUGGAUCUCAGUAAUUAUGCUUGGUUCCACUCGGCGUGAUAAGUAUCACUCGCUGAGGACACUGUUAAAAAGGUGGCCAGGAAAAUACUGAUUGAACCGCUUCUAACGGUCUAUUAAGUUAGACAAUUACCCUUAAGUUUGAUCUCGAAUCAGGUAGGACUACCCGCUGAACUUAAGCAUAUCAAUAAGCGGAGGA